UCCUGCCAGGCUGGUGUGUGGGGAGAGGGGCUUCUGUCCCAGUUCACAGCCAGGGUGUGAGGAAGGAAUUGCCUGCCUCUGUUCUGAGUGGGCAAAGGAGAAUUUUAAUAAGAAAGAGAAGGAGUUCAAGUCUAUCUGUAAUAGUCAGAUAUUGAGGAUUUAUGCUAUUAUAGGUAAUAGCAGUGUGAAUGGUAGCUCUUAUGGUGCUUUUUUUCCUUCUUCAGAGAAACUGUCUUUUUCAUCUGAUAUCAUGGGUGAGAGAAGGCUACACAGAGCCUUAAACUUGCAAAAGGGAUUUGUGAGCAGCCUGCUUGUCAAGAACAAAUACUAGUCAAAAGAAAUGCCUGACUUAUUGACCUUGGGUUCACUGAACCUUCGUCUUGAUGCUUCCGUACCUCUGAGGAAUCAGCUCCUCUGAAAAUUAAAGUUCCCAGAUUAGAAUAGAGGCUUCAACAAAGGAGCUGUGUGGCUUUACAAAUACACAUCGAUUAGAGGACUUUGGAAGAGCUUUGUUAGAAAAGUGGAAUUAUGAAAAGCAAAUGUUUGAGAGAUUUGGUGCAGAGUAACAGAUGUACCUUCCCUCUGGUGUGCUGGGUGACUCUUCUGCUUCACAAUCCCAGUUGUCUGUGGGCAAACACACAAAUGAGAAAGAGGAGGAGGGAGCUGUGUGCCCUGCUUGGGCAGUCUCUGCACAGCUCUGGGCAGG